GCCAGGUGCAGUGGCGCGUGCCUGUAGUCUCAGCUACUCGGGAGGCUGAGGUGGAAGGAUUGAUUGAGCCCAGGAGUUCUGGGCUGCGGUGCGCUAUGCCAAAUGGGUGUCCGCACUAAGUUUGGCAUCAAUAUGGUGACCUCCCAGGCAUGGGGGACCACCAGGUUGCCUAAGUAGGGGUGAACCGGCCCAGGUCGGAAUUGGAGCAGGUCAAAACUCCCGUGCUGAUCAGUAGUAGGAUUGCACCUGUGAAAGCCACUGCACUCCAGCCUAGGCAACCUAGCAAGACCCCAUCUCU
rnacentral:SRP_RNA from 1 species